UACGAAGGGUGCAAGCGUUACUCGGAAUUACUGGGCGUAAAGAGCUCGUAGGCGGUUUGUCGCGUCUGCCGUGAAAGUCCGGGGCUCAACUCCGGAUCUGCGGUGGGUACGGGCAGACUAGAGUGAUGUAGGGGAGACUGGAAUUCCUGGUGUAGCGGUGAAAUGCGCAGAUAUCAGGAGGAACACCGAUGGCGAAGGCAGGUCUCUGGGCAUUAACUGACGCUGAGGAGCGAAAGCAUGGGGAGCGAACAGG
rnacentral:rRNA from 1 species